rnacentral:tRNA from 1 species
GAUAGCUCAGUUGGGAGGGUGUCAAACUGAAGAUCUGAAGGUCAUGUGUUCGAUCCAUGUUC